UUGCAUAUCCAUAAGCGGAGGAAAAGAAACCAACUGGGAUUACCUUAGUAACGGCGAGUGAAGCGGUAAAAGCUCAAAUUUGAAAUCUGGUACUUUCAGUGCCCGAGUUGUAAUUUGUAGAAUUUGUCUUUGAUUAGGUCCUUGUCUAUGUUCCUUGGAACAGGACGUCAUAGAGGGUGAGAAUCCCGUUUGGCGAGGAUACCUUUUCUCUGUAAGACUUUUUCGAAGAGUCGAGUUGUUUGGGAAUGCAGCUCAAAGUGGGUGGUAAAUUCCAUCUAAAGCUAAAUAUUGGCGAGAGACCGAUAGCGAACAAGUACAGUGAUGGAAAGAUGAAAAGAACUUUGAAAAGAGAGUGAAAAAGUACGUGAAAUUGUUGAAAGGGAAGGGCAUUUGAUCAGACAUGGUGUUUUUUGCAUGCACUCGCCUCUCGUGGGCUUGGGCCUCUCAAAAAUUUCACUGGGCCAACAUCAAUUCUGGCAGCAGGAUAAAUCAUUAAGAAUGUAGCUACUUCGGUAGUGUUAUAGCUUUUUGGAAUACUGUUAGCCGGGAUUGAGGACUGCGCUUCGGCAAGGAUGUUGGCAUAAUGGUUAAAUGCCGCCCGUCUUA
rnacentral:rRNA from 1 species